AUUGAACGCUGGCGGCAUGCUUAACACACGCAAGUCGAACGGUAACAGGCCCUUCGGGGUGCUGACGAGUGGCGGACGGGUGAGUAAUGCUUAGGAAUCUGCCUGGUAGUGGGGGAUAACCCGGGGAAACUCGGGCUAAUACCGCAUACGCCCUACAGGGGAAAGCGGGGGACUUUCGGGCCUCGCGCUAUUAGAUGAGCCUAAGUCCGAUUAGCUAGUUGGUAGGGUAAUGGCCUACCAAGGCGACGANCGGUAGCUGGUCUGAGAGGACGACCAGCCACACUGGGACUGAGACACGGCCCAGACUCCUACGGGAGGCAGCAGU
rnacentral:rRNA from 1 species